UCCCGAGGGUUAUUUGAUUUAUUUAGGUAUAGGCAGGUUUUUGUUGUAAGAAGAUCUGGGAUGCUUAGAUGGGAAUGAGAUGUUAUUACGGAAUGGAGGAUAUCUGGUUCUGGUGGUUAAGGUUUGAGAUCGGGGAGUGAUUUGUAGGGUUUGUAGAUGAUUUUUAAAAUCUAUUGGGGAUUAGCUCAUAGGGGGAUAUAGAUUAAUUUAAUGUGUGUAUAUAAAGAGGCUUAAGAGUGGCUGAAGUGUAAUAACUAAGUAUUGAUUGAGAGGAUGAGUUUUGUAUUGAUUUAUCUAUUGGAUAGGCUUUUUAUUAAGAAGAUUUUAGUAUAAUGAUAGGAUGAGUAAAGUGUUAGAGAUUUAGUGAUUUGUGAAUAAUGGGUAUAAUGUGUGUAUGAUUUGUGUAGGCUUGAAAGAGGAAUUAGGCAAAAAUAUGGAUCUCGCCUGUUUAGCAAAAACAUGGUUUUUUGGUGUGAUAAAAAAUCUGAUUCUGCCCACUGUUGAGUAUAAAUGGCCGCAGUAUUUUGACUGUGCUAAGGUAGCAUAAUAAUUAGUUUUUUUAUUGAAGACUGGAAUGAAGGAUUGGACGAAGGUUUAGCUGUCUUUUUUUGGGGGAUUGAAUUUUGUGUUUGUGUGAGGAAACACAAAUUGAGCUGAGGGACGAGAAGACCCUAUUAAGUUUGAUGUUUAUGUUGGGUUUAUAAUUGUGGAGAUUAAAGUUUGAUGGAUGCAUUUUACUGGGGCGGUAACAAGAGAAGAGUAUCUUUUGGAUGUGAGAUGAGUGUAGGGACUUCUGAGAGAUCCAUUAUGGGGAUAGUGAAAAGGGGAUUAAAUUACUAUAGGGAUAACAGCGUAAAAUUUUUGGAAAGGUCAAAUUGAUAAGAAGUUUUGCGACCUCGAUGUUGAAUUAAGAAGUCUUCUUGGAGUAGAAGCUAGGGGAGAGAGUCUGUUCGACUCUUGAAUUCUUACAUGAUUUGAGUUCAGAUCGGUGUGAGCCAGGUCGGUUUCUAUCUUUAGUUUGGGGUUUUACAUUUUAGUACGAAAGGACCAGAUGUAGGUUUAUUAAGUUGGUAAUUAGCUUGGCAGAAAUAUAAAUGUAUUUGAUUUAGAAUCAAAAU
rnacentral:rRNA from 1 species